rnacentral:rRNA from 1 species
AUGUCGACCAACAAGGGCGGAGGUGGAGGGAAGAAGAAGAAGGAGGUGAAGAAGGAGACGAAACUGGGGAUGGGGUACAAGAAGGAUGAUAACUUCGGGGAGUGGUACUCCGAGGUUGUUGUUAACAGCGAAAUGAUUGAGUACUAUGACAUCUCUGGUUGUUAUAUCUUGAGGCCUUGGGCGAUGGAAAUAUGGGAGUUGCUGAAAGAAUUUUUUGAUUCGGAAAUAAAAAAGUUGAAGCUGAAACCGUAUUAUUUCCCUUUGUUUGUUACGGAGAAUGUUCUGCAGAAGGAGAAAGACCAUAUUGAGGGCUUUGCCCCUGAGGUAGCAUGGGUUACUAAAUCAGGAAAAUCUGAUCUGGAAGCUCCUAUUGCAAUCCGUCCAACAAGUGAGACGGUCAUGUAUCCAUACUUCUCUAAAUGGAUAAGAAGCCACCGGGACUUGCCUUUGAAGUGUAACCAGUGGUGCAAUGUUGUUAGAUGGGAGUUUAGCAAUCCAACUCCUUUCAUAAGGAGCCGUGAAUUUCUUUGGCAAGAAGGCCAUACAGUUUUUGCAACUAAAGAGGAGGCAGAUGAAGAGGUCCUCCAAAUAUUGGAACUCUACAGGAGAAUAUAUGAAGAAUUUUUAGCAGUUCCAGUGUCCAAAGGGAGGAAAAGUGAGAUGGAAAAGUUUGCUGGUGGACUUUAUACAACCAGUGUGGAGGCCUUCAUUCCAAAUACUGGCCGUGGUAUACAAGGUGCAACUUCCCAUUGUCUUGGUCAAAACUUUGCAAAGAUGUUUGAUAUCACUUUUGAGAAUGAAAAGGGUGAACGGUCCAUGGUGUGGCAGAACUCUUGGGCAUACACUACCCGCUCGAUUGGAGUCAUGAUAAUGACACAUGGUGAUGACAAGGGCUUAGUGCUGCCGCCAAAGGUGGCACCUAUCCAGGUCAUUGUUAUUCCUGUGCCAUUUAAAGAUGCUGACACAACAGCUAUUAAAGGGGCGUGUGAGUCGGCCGUUUACACCUUGAACCAAGCUGGGAUUCGAGCAGAUUUGGAUGCUCGUGAAAACUACUCUCCAGGUUGGAAAUAUUCUCAAUGGGAAAUGAAAGGUGUUCCUUUGAGAAUCGAGAUAGGUCCAAAAGAUCUGGCGAACAAGCAGGUGCGUAUUGUCCGACGAGACAAUGGUACAAAGGUUGAUAUUCCUUCAACCGACUUGGUUGAGCAGGUUAGAGUGUUGCUGGAUGGGAUUCAAGUAAACUUGUUGGAAACAGCAAAAGCAAAAAGAGAUGCAUGCAUUGAAAUCAUCAGCACCUGGGAUGAAUUCAUAGCGGCUCUCAACAACAAAAAGUUGAUCUUGGCUCCAUGGUGUGAUGAAGAGGAGGUCGAGAAGGACGUGAAAGCUCGGACCAAAGGUGAACUUGGGGCUGCGAAAACAUUGUGUACUCCAUUUGACCAGCCAGAUCUUCCUUCCGGAACCGUGUGCUUUGCUUCCGGAAAGCCUGCUCAAAAGUGGUCAUUCUGGGGUCGCAGCUAUUGA